rnacentral:rRNA from 1 species
AGCGAACGCUGGCGGCAGGCUUAACACAUGCAAGUCGAGCGGGCACCUUCGGGUGUCAGCGGCAGACGGGUGAGUAACACGUGGGAACGUACCCUUCGGUUCGGAAUAACGCUGGGAAACUAGCGCUAAUACCGGAUACGCCCUUAUGGGGAAAGGUUUACUGCCGCAGGAUCGGCUCGAGUCUGAUUAGCUAGCUGGUGGGGUAACGGCAUACCAAGGCGACGAACAGUAGCUGGUCUGAGAGGAUGGGCAGCCACACUGGGACUAAGACACGGCCCAGACUCCUACGCAAGGGAGCAGAGGGGAAUAUAGGAACGUGGGGUCAAGGCUGAUCCAGCCAGGCCGCGUGAGUGAUGAAGGCGUUAGGGAUGUAAAGCUCUUUUGUCCGGGACGUUAAUGACGGUACCGGAAGAAUAAGCCCCGGCUAACUUCGUG